UACGGAGGGUGCAAGCGUUAUCCGGAUUCACUGGGUUUAAAGGGUGCGUAGGUGGGCAGGUAAGUCAGUGGUGAAAUCUCCGGGCUUAACCCGGAACUGCCGUUGAUACUAUUUGUCUUGAAUAUUGUGGAGGUAAGCGGAAUAUGUCAUGUAGCGGUGAAAUGCUUAGAUAUGACAUAGAACACCAAUUGCGAAGGCAGCUUACUGGCCCGAUACUGACGCUGAGGCACGAAAGCGUGGGGAGCAAACAGG
rnacentral:rRNA from 1 species